rnacentral:rRNA from 1 species
AUUGAACGCUGGCGGCAGGCCUAACACAUGCAAGUCGAACGAGUGGCGGACGGGUGAGUAAUGUAUGGGAACCUCCCUGAUGGAGGGGGAUACCUACUGGAAACGGUAGCUAAUACCGCAUACCAUCAGAUGUGCCCAGAUGGGGUUAGCUUGUUGGUGGGGUAACGGCUCACCAAGGCGAAGAUCCCUAGCUGGUCUGAGAGGAUGACCGGCCACACUGGAACUGGGACACGGUCCAGACUCCUACGGUAGGCGGCAGUGGGGAAUAUUGCACAAUGGGAGCAAGCCUGACGCAGCCAUGCCGCGUGUAGGAAGAAGGCCGUGGGGUUGGAAAGUACUUUCAGCGGGGAGGCGGUACCCGCAGAAGAAGCACCGGCUAACUCCGUGCCAGCAGCCGCGGUAAUUC